rnacentral:lncRNA from 1 species
AAAAACUUUAUAAUUUUUUAAUGUAUCUACGUAAAUUAAUUAAAUUUUUUUUUUUUUUUAGAUAUAGGUAGCACGCUACCCGCUUCGUUUAUUUCAUUUAGAAAUAAACUUAGCUAUAAAUAUGAAUCAAGUAGGAUUCGAACUUGAGUCUUGGAUAUCAACCAAUAAAUUUUUUGUCACUUGCUCUAGGACGAUUGGUUAAAUUAAUUAAAUUGUUGAGGGAUAUUUAAG